CCGGGGAACGCUGCCUCUGCCGCAAAGAUGCCCCCUUCCGCUGGAAAGCGGUGCCUCCCUGGGUGCUCGCGAAAGCAGCCCUGAGAAUGGCAGCUCUCAGAGGUUGAAGUCAUUCUUUUCGGGGGACGGGGCACGGCGACUGUUUGAUUGGGGGCCUCGCUAGAGGAAUGUGCAAGGACAGAAGGGAAACUGAGGAGACCCGCAACUCAUUAGCGAAAUAAUAGGGUGCACUUCAAUAAAAAUGCGGUCCUGAAGUGGAGCAGACUCACCGGCAAGGAGCCCGGAAAAUCGUCAGGGGCGGCGGCAAAAUACUAUCAAAUCAGCCUGGGAAGCAUCUUUUCGCUCAGCAAGUUCAAGAGAACAAAUAUGUUACAAUCCUUGCCUAUUCUUGCCUCCACUUCAUAAUGUCAUAAAAGCCACCUGGGGUGUCAUUUAUCAACCUCUCUCCAGCCCACUCUUCCAAAAUAACACUACAGUUUCCUACAUGUGUAUUUUUGCCAGGACUCCAAAGAGCCUUGCUAAAGUGGAACAAGG
rnacentral:lncRNA from 1 species